rnacentral:tRNA from 1 species
GGUUAAGGCUCAGUGGUAGAGUGCUCACCUAGCAUGUGCAAAGCCCUGGGUUCGAUCCUCAGCACCA